GGGCGGCAUCAUUUGGACAAGACGCUGACGGCCAUUUUGAUGUGUGUUUCACCGCUGUACGAUCGACAUGGAAAACUACCGAGGAAGGGAAGACCACUAAAUCGACGCCAUAGUGGAUACGGCCUUGCCGAAAAGGCCACGUAGUUCGGAAUAAAAUUUACGUAUCUGAACCAAGA